rnacentral:rRNA from 1 species
CUCCGGUUGAUCCUGCCGGACCCGACUGCUAUCAGAGUGGGACUAAGCCAUGCGAGUCAACAUAGCAAUAUGUGGCAUACGGCUCAGUAACACGUAGUCAACAUGCCCAGGGGACGCGGAUAACCUCGGGAAACUGAGGAUAAACCGCGAUAGGUCAUCACUUCUGGAAUGGGUAAUGACUUAAAUCUAUAUGGCCCCUGGAUUGGACUGCGGCCGAUCAGGCUGUUGGCGAGGUAAUGGCCCACCAAACCUGUAACCGGUACGGGCUCUGAGAGGAGGAGCCCGGAGAUGGGCACUGAGACAAGGGCCCAGGCCCUAUGGGGCGCAGCAGGCGCGAAACCUCUGCAAUAGGCGAAAGCUUGACAGGGUUACUCUGAGUGAUUUCCGUUAAGGAGAUCUUUUGGCACCUCUAAAAAUGGUGCAGAAUAAGGGGUGGGCAAGUCUGGUGUCAGCCGCCGCGGUAAUACCAGCACCCCGAGUGGUCGGGAUGUUUAUUGGGCCUAAAGCAUCCGUAGCCGGUUCUACAAGUCUUCCGUUAAAUCCACCUGCUUAACAGAUGGGCUGCGGAAGAUACUAUAGAGCUAGGAGGCGGGAGAGGCAAGCGGUACUCGAUGGGUAGGGGUAAAAUCCGUUGAUCCAUUGAAGACCACCAGUGGCGAAGGCGGCUUGCCAGAACGCGCUCGACGGUGAGGGAUGAAAGCUGGGGGAGCAAACCGGAUUAGAUACCCGGGUAGUCCCAGCUGUAAACGAUGCAGACUCGGUGAUGAGUUGGCUUAUUGCUAACUCAGUGCCGCAGGGAAGCCGUUAAGUUUGCCGCCUGGGGAGUACGGUCGCAAGACUGAAACUUAAAGGAAUUGGCGGGGGAGCA